UGGGAUGCCUGCCACAGCAUGGCUUGCCAAGUGGUGCCUUGUCUGGACCCGGGAUCCGAACAGGUGACCACCACCUCGAAGGUGACGUGCAUCAUUUGUGGAGACCCUUUGUACACCUGAAAACCCCCUCACAUGCACCAAAGGUUUAAAUAUUUUCCUGUGUCUUUUAGAAGAAAAAAAGACAGCAAUAAUGAAUUGUCUGUGGACAGUUGUUCUCAAGUAAGCCUUCCCGGGAUCUGCAAGCAUCUUUCCAAGAGAGACCAGGUUCACAUCGUUGCAACAGUGAGGCUCGCAAAGUUCCCGUGAGAAGCUGUUCACAAACUGUGCCACCUUCUGACUGAUGUUGCUAAUAAAGAACAGAGAAGAAUCUGCCCGUCAAACUUGCCUCAAAGGAGGUCGUCGAGUUGCGAUUGGAUAUAUUAUAUAUUAUACAAUAAUUUAUUUUGACCCUAGGAGAGGUUCAUUUGAAAAAGGCCAUAAUACCUCUUUCUGCCCACUUUGGAGCAGAUUUUAGCUGGGGUCAAAGCUCUAACGUCUGCCUCUAUGAAAGGUUGCAGGCAGGGGGCCUGGGGCGUUCCUAUCUGCUCGGGCACAUGAAAAAUGAAGACAUUUCCUGAGGAGGCUGAUGGAACCAAUGUGCUCAUGUCUGAACGUUUUUGCAGAAAGAAUUAAAGGACAGUAAAAAAAACUUCUGAAUA